rnacentral:rRNA from 1 species
CUCAGUAACACGCGGAUAACCUGCCCUUGGAUCUGGGAUAACCCCGGGAAACUGGGACUAAUACCGGAUAGAUCAAAGAAACUGGAAUGUUCCUUGAUUCAAAGCUCCGGCGUCCAAGGAUGGAUCUGCGGCUUAUCAGGUAGUAGUGGGUGUAACGUACCUACUAGCCUACGACGAGUACGGGUUGUGAGAGCAAGAGCCCGGAGAUGGAUUCUGAGACAUGAAUCCAGGCCCUACGGGGCGCAGCAGGCGCGAAAUCUUUACAAUGCAGGAAACUGCGAUAAGGGGACCCCGAGUGCCAGCAUCUAAUGCUGGCUGUCCAGCUGUGUAAAUAGCAGUUGUUAGCAAGGGCCGGGCAAGACCGGUGCCAGCCGCCGCGGUAACACCGGCGGCCCGAGUGGUAACCGAUAUUAUUGGGUUUAAAGGGUCCGUAGCCGGCCUGUUAAGUCUCUUGGGAAAUCUGGCGGCUCAAUCGUCAGACGUUCAAGAGAUACUGACAGGCUUGGGACCGGUAGAGGUGGGAGGUACUCCAGGGGUAGAGGUGAAAUUUUGUAAUCCUUGGGGGACCAUCGAUGGCGAAGGCAUCCCACCAGAACGGGUCCGACGGUGAGGGACGAAAGCUGGGGGCACGAACCGGAUUAGAUACCCGGGUAGUCCCAGCCGUAAACGAUGCUCGCUAGGUGUCAGACGCGGUGCGACCGCGUUUGGUGCCGAAGUGAAAACCUGAAGCGAGCCACCUGGGAAGUACGGUCGCAAGGCUGAAACUAAAG